GAUGAACGCUGGCGGCGUGCUUAACACAUGCAAGUCGAACGAAGCAUUUGCGACAGAUUUUUUCGGAAUGAAGUUGCUUAUGACUGAGUGGCGGACGGGUGAGUAACGCGUGGGUAACCUGCCUUGUACUGGGGGAUAGCAGCUGGAAACGGCUGGUAAUACCGCAUAAGCGCACAAUGUUGCAUGACAUGGUGUGAAAAACUCCGGUGGUAUAAGAUGGACCCGCGUCUGAUUAGCUAGUUGGUGAGAUAACAGCCCACCAAGGCGACGAUCAGUAGCCGACCUGAGAGGGUGACCGGCCACAUUGGGACUGAGACACGGCCCAGACUCCUACGGGAGGCAGCAGUGGGGAAUAUUGCACAAUGGAGGAAACUCUGAUGCAGCGACGCCGCGUGAGUGAAGAAGUAACUCGUUAUGUAAAGCUCUAUCAGCAGGGAAGAUAGUGACGGUACCUGACUAAGAAGCUCCGGCUAAAUACGUG
rnacentral:rRNA from 1 species